UACAGAGGGGGCAAGCGUUGUUCGGAAUUACUGGGCGUAAAGGGCGCGUAGGCGGCCUUCUAAGUCGAACGUGAAAUCCCCGGGCUCAACCCGGGAACUGCGUCCGAUACUGGAAGGCUUGAAUCCGGGAGAGGGAUGUGGAAUUCCAGGUGUAGCGGUGGAAAUGCGUAGAUAUCUGGAGGAACACCGGUGGCGAAGGCGACAUCC
rnacentral:rRNA from 1 species